rnacentral:lncRNA from 1 species
UCGACGAUCUUUUGGGCGAUCGCUGUCGUCGCUGCGGCAUUUCAUUUGUGUGGAGGGGAAGCGUGGCGGGUGGCGCUCGAUUGGACUUUGGGGGGCGCCGCGCCGGGGAUUUUUGGUCGGCGCGGGCGUGUCGGUGGCCGGGCGGGCGAUGAGGCGAGGCUGUCUGGCCGUGGGCGUGGCCGCUGCCGUGGAGCGCGCGCGUGGAUCUCACACGUCACGUGCGACCUGUGGCUAGGUCAACUGCGCGGUCGGAGGCGAUCAAGGCGCGCGAGAAUGUUUUUCGUUUGGGGGACCCGAGGGUGAGAAAUAGGCCGGCAGCAAAAGGUACGGAUGGAGGACAGCCCAUCACUUCACUACUUCGG